GGUGGAUGUAUGAAAGUUUACCAAAAACAUACUUUUGCCGGCAAUUUUAUAAUCAUGUUUACACCACGAGGGUUGACUACUAAAGCUCGGGGGUCACCGUUUACACCUUCGUCCACUCAAAGUAAACGAAUAUCUAAUCUUUUCACGCCACAAAGUCGUCGACCAUCUCUUUCUCAGUUCACUGGAGGGAGAAGUCAGAUAUCUGCCAACAGGUCACAGAGCUCUCAGCUGCUGGACGACUCAUCACUACACAGAGUUGAUAAUUAUGGAGUCUCUCUGCCAGUCCUCAUUACAGAGGCUCUCACUCUGGCCGACCGGAGCACAGAGAUCACUGUGUGUUUUGACCCGUCUGGCUGGGCAUGGAUGGUAGGUGGCCGCAAGUUGUUCGUGUGGAGGUACAAGCCAACAGUCACCACUCGGGGUGUCCAAUGCAAAGAGCUGAUGCUUCCUUCCAGUGACUUGGCACACAGUGCUGAGAGAGUGUGCAUCAUCCCCAAUAUAGGCGACAGUCAGAUGGCAUCCUGUGUGGCGGUGUCACCGGAAGGUGUUGUCAGAUACUGGCCAAACAUCGCAUACGAGUCGUCCACCGCAGAGAUCAGUGCUGAACUUAAGGGCGAGGAGUGUGCCUGUGUUGUUAACUUUGAGCCUUUCGGUGUUCUUUUGGCAACGACUACCAGCUCCCUCAUUUUGUUACUGACAGCACCAGGACAGAACACAAUUUCAUGCCAGCCUUUGAAGUCAUCUCAAGGAAUGUUUGCUGGUAUAGGGCGGAGAAUGUCUUCUUUUAUAUUUGGUGCAUCACCUCUUCAAACAACUGGAGCAACUUUGCAAGCACUGGUGCCGGGAUUUGUGGAUGAAGACAGCAGACCAUUCUUUGUUUUGUCUGGCACUGUGCUGCAGAAGUGGGAAAUAUCGGAAGAGUGUCCAGAAAAGCUGUUGUAUCAGGUAGACAUUGGACGAUUGUUUAGAGAUGCCCUUGCCAGAAAAGUUUGGAAUCAAGAUUCUGUGCAAAUGGCUCAAUUGCGAACUUGGCUGCUUGAUAUGAAAAUAACAAGAAAUGGAGUCAUGAUACUUGGGUGUGGAGUAAACCUUGAGUCGACAUCUGUUGUGCAUUACGCUGUGGCUUUGUUGUCAACCAGCGAGUCUGAACCAGCCUCAUCUCUGGAUAUGUUCACCGUGCUGGACAACACUGAACACUACCAGGAAGAACACGAAAACUACUUUCUUGGCUACCAUUUAUUGGUUCCAGAUAUCAACUCUCUUGUGGCUUACAUAUACGACAAGCAUAACAUCUUUAUUGUGUCAGUUUCAGAGUCUAACCCAACAGACACUAUUGAACUUCCAUCCGGGGACCAGUUACUUGGUGCAGGCAACAGUGACAAAACCGCUGUGUUCUUCUCCAACUCGCGAGGCUUGUUCUGUGUGUCAUCCUCCGCUAAAACAGAACAAAGCAUACUGGACGAAUCGGACCAAGCAGCCCUGGCCAGGACAGAAGUGUCUUCUUUAGUUACAAGUCAUUCGAAGGUCGCUGAGAUGAGUGUCAGUGAUGACCGAUACACACGUCUGAAAGCUGCUUUUAUCAAUUCUCUCAGUGGACACCUGCAAGAUGCGCAGACUGCCGUUGAAAACCUUUUUCCUUCACUGUGCGAUGAAAGUGAGGCACACACUGACAUGGAUGAGCUGGUAGUGGCAUUAAGUGUUGAUCUUAUUGAUGACUACCCGACAUCCGACCCCAGAUGGGCGGAAAGCCUUCGACAAGAUGCAGCUUUCAGUUCAUCACUGAUUAUCCAGCAACAGUUGAGAGACAAGGAAAAAGCACAUGAUUAUUUGAUUAGCUUUCUCAAGAAACUCGACCUCUGGGACAGGCUCUGUGGUGUGGUCAUGCGAGAGACGGUGAUGUCUACCAGAUUGUUCCUCUGUGAACACGCCGAGAAGCUACAGGCUGCGAUUGCACUGCGAGAGUUACACAGCGAACAUGCUGCAGUGAUUGACAACUGUAUUCAGGCAGUCCUCGAAACUGAACGUGAUGCUCAAAUACCAUCAGGCCUUACUCCACAAGAUGUCUUCUACAGGGAGGUGUCUAGGAUUAGUGAAAUUGUGUCAGCUCUCAUUGACUACGAGGUGGACAGACUUUCCUCAGAUCUUCCUCCUCGACAGCGUGUAAUUCUUGUUUCCAUCACCAACAACAUUCUUGAAGGAGUUCUGAGUAGUGCUCUGCAGUAUCGCCAGUGUAAGGCGGCAGUGUUCCAGUCUGAGGCGGAUGAGCUGUCUGAUUUCGAGUACAUUCCGUGGACCUCGUCUGGUGGAAGCAAAGGCAUCCGCACUCUCAUAUCAAAACAGUUUAACAUUACCCUAGAAAGUGGUGUGCCAGAAGCAAAGAACGUGGAGGGUAGAGGUGUGUUGUUUGAACAAGUGCUUCGAAUGGCCGAUCUCUUGUUAGAUGGCUACAGUUGUCAGCUGGAAUCUCUUCGACAGAAUCCAGAAAAGUCCGAACAGUAUCGACAGUUGAACAAGAAAUACGAACAAGAACGAUCCAAGCUGAUCUCACCUCUGUUGGACUAUGAACAGUAUGAGCGUGCAGCGUCACUGGCAGAGAAGUACUUUGACUUCAAUGCUCUCAUUCAAAUAUGUGAAGUAACCAACAACGAAGAGCGUCUUCAGCGCUACAUUACACAAUUUGCUGAUAGGGGGUUCUCCAAGUUUCUGUUUGACUGGUACAUGAAAGAAGGAAAGCGAGGCCGCCUGCUGUGUCAGCCUGGCAUACAGAGUGAAGAACUACAGACAUUCCUCAACUCCGAUAACAACAAGUACCUCAGCUGGCUUCACGAUAUCAACUCGGACAACUAUCUUGGUGCACAUGAAACAUUAAUGCAGCUACAAGAAGAAGAAACAACAUUUUUAGCAAAAAAAAAAGACUCUGCUCAGUUUGUGUAAGCUUGCUGCUCUUGCCGUCGACAACUAUGACAUUGACCUUACCGACAACAUUGAAGUGACAAAUGAUGCCUUGAAUUUGGUUUUGCACCAAGAACAAGUUCCUCCUGAUGUUUUUAGGAAUAUUGGAGUAAACCCGGAAAACAUGAGAGUUUUCUCACCAAAAGAAUUAAUAGAG
rnacentral:misc_RNA from 1 species